rnacentral:lncRNA from 1 species
CAUUUAGUUUAGCGUGAGCAUUUGGCUUAGUGUUUCUUUUAGGUUUAGGGUUAGGGUUAGGUUUAGGUUUAGGUUUAGUGUUAGUGUUAGUGUUAGUACUAUAGUUAGGGUUAGCAUUAGUGUUUGGCUUAGUGUUAUAAUUAGUUUUAGGUUUAGAGUUAGGGUUAAAAUAAGGGUUAGUGUCAGGUUUAGUGUUAGGUUUAGUUUUAAUGUAGGGUUAGGAAUAGGUUUACGGUUAGGGUUUGGGUUAGAGUUAGGUUUGAUGUUAUUGUUAGGUUUAGGUUAGUGUUAGGAUUAGGUAAGGGUUAGGGUUAAGGUUAGGGUUGGUUCAUGGUUAGGAUUAGGGUUGGGUUUAGUGUUAGGAUUACGGUGAGUGUUAGGUUUUCGGUUACAGUUAGAGUUAGGGUUAGUGUUAGGUUUACGGUUAGGUUUCAGGUUAGGAUUACUGUUAGUGUUAUUUUUUGGUUUAGGGUUAGUGUUAGGGUUAGGUUUAGGUUUAGGGUAAGUGUUAGGGUUAGGUUUAGGGUUAGAGAAAGAGUUCAUUUUGGAGUUAGGGUUAGGGUUAUUAUAAGGUGUAGUGUUAUGAUUAGGGUUAGGGUUAGUAUUAGGAUUAGAGUUAGUGUUUGAGUUAGGUUUAGGUUUAGGAUUAUGGUUAGAGUUAGGUUUAGGAUUAGGAUUAGUGUUAGUGUUAGGUUAUUGUUAGGGUUAGGGUAAGUUUAGAGUUAGGGUUAGGGUUAGGAAUGGUUUUACGGUUAGGGUUAGGGUUAGUGUUAGAGUUAGUGUUAGUGUUAGGGUUAGGGUUAAUGUUAGGGAUAGGGUUAACCUAAGGUUAGGGUUAUGGUUGGGGUUAUGAUUUGAGUUAGUGUUACUGUUAGGGUUAGGGUUAGGGUUAGGAUUAAGUUUAGUGUUAGGUUUAGGGUUAGUGUUAUGUUUAGGGUUAGUGUUAUGAUAAGGAUUUGUGUUAGUGUUUGGUUAAGGGUUAG